UCCAUGUAUUAGGUUGGUGCAAAGGUAAUUGCGGUUUUUGUCACUAAAAUUAAUGGUAAAAACCGCAAUUACUUUUGCACCAACCUAAUAUAUAUACAUACUCAUGAUA
rnacentral:miRNA from 1 species